rnacentral:rRNA from 1 species
UACGUAGGGGGGCAAGCGUUGUCCGGAUUUAUUGGGCGUAAAGAGCGUGUAGGCGGUUUUACAGGUCCGCUGUGAAAACUCGAGGCUCAACCUCGAGCUGUCGGUGGAAACCGUAAGGCUAGAGUCCGGAAGAGGAGAGUGGAAUUCCCGGUGUAGCGGUGAAAUGCGCAGAGUAAUCGGGAGGAACACCGGGUGGCGAAGGCACUUUACUGGGCUAUUACUAACACUCAGAGACGAAAGCUAGGGUAGCAAAUGGG